UUUGAUUUAGAAAACGGAGUGUUUUCUGGAACUCGGAAUGAGUUCGGCCGUGAGUUUGUCAUGGCAAACCUGACUUAUCAAGGAAAUUUCCAUCC